rnacentral:rRNA from 1 species
AUGUAUAUUCUUAUAGCAUAGCGUUAAUGCAGUGAAUUCUAUUAGAACUUCGCAGUUAAGAACACUCAGGCUAGAGUAGUAUUGGGAUGGGUGACCUCCUGGGAAUUCCUAGUGUUUUACAUG